GCUAAUUGAGCUUCGACUACAUUUAUAGAUUUCUAGUGUCUAACGUUCAUGGAUCCUUUGGCUAGAAUCGAUCAACGUUUCCUGUCGUAAACUAUCGAUCUAACGCCUAAAGGAGACUUUAGUUCCCAGUAAAAACUCUCCUUUAUUACGGAAUAUCAAUAAUUCCAUUGAUAGAUAACAUAACGUAUUUGUCUAUGAUACAGCCGUUGUUCUCACAGCAGCAAGCGCCAUGUUACCACGAUUAGAACUCAGAGUCCAAGGUCCUGACGUAACGGCUUUCAACAUGGCGUCGGAUAUACAGAACCCAGGGAUGCUACCGUUACCCCGUGAAAAAUCGAAUUUCAAGAAAUCGUCGGCGAGAGGGAAAUCGGAAUUAUUCAAAUCGCAAUUUGAUAUUAUGGAUAUCGAACGAGAGAGAACCCAAACGCCCAAAACGGCACGUCAAACUGCCGAAAGACAUGCCGAAUUAGAGGUGGAACAUAACUGGUUAUUAAAAGAGGAAGAACAAAGACAGAAGAAGAAAUUUGUUCAAACUAAGGAUAAAUUAACUAUUUAUCUUCCAGAAGACGACCCUUUAGAUUCAAUACAACAGAGACUAGAGGAGAUACAGUCAAUGGUGAAACCCAGAGCUAAAAUACCAGAUUUUUUAACUGCUUUAACUACAGAACAACGCAAUAAAAUUAUGUCGGUUUCUGCCGAAGACGUUGAUUCAAGAAAGAAAACAAGACGAACAAAUUGGAAGGUUAUAGAUAUAUUUCGUCAUGCAAUCAAGUUGAUUAUGUUAAUAAAUAGAACAUGUAUAC